rnacentral:rRNA from 1 species
GAUGAACGCUGGCGGCGUGCCUAAUACAUGCAAGUCGAGCGAACAGACGAGGAGCUUGCUCCUCUGACGUUAGCGGCGGACGGGUGAGUAACACGUGGAUAACCUACCUAUAAGACUGGGAUAACUUCGGGAAACCGGAGCUAAUACCGGAUAAUAUAUUGAACCGCAUGGUUCAAUAGUGAAAGACGGUUUUGCUGUCACUUAUAGAUGGAUCCGCGCCGCAUUAGCUAGUUGGUAAGGUAACGGCUUACCAAGGUGACGAUGCGUAGCCGACCUGAGAGGGUGAUCGGCCACACUCGAACUGAGACACGGUCCAGACUCCUACGGGAGGCAGCAGUAGGGAAUCUUCCGCAAUGGGCGAAAGCCUGACGGAGCAACGCCGCGUGAGUGAUGAAGGUCUUCGGAUCGUAAAACUCUGUUAUUAGGGAAGAACAAAUGUGUAAGUAACUAUGCACGUCUUGACGGUACCUAAUCAGAAAGCCACGGCUAACUACGUG